rnacentral:rRNA from 1 species
GAUGAACGCUGGCGGCGUGCCUAAUACAUGCAAGUGCGCGAACGGACGAGAAGCUUGCUUCUCUGAUGUUAGCGGCGGACGGGUGAGUAACACGUGGAUAACCUACCUAUAAGACUGGGAUAACUUCGGGAAACCGGAGCUAAUACCGGAUAAUAUUUUGAACCGCAUGGUUCAAAAGUGAAAGACGGUCUUGCUGUCACUUAUAGAUGGAUCCGCGCUGCAUUAGCUAGUUGGUAAGGUAACGGCUUACCAAGGCAACGAUGCAUAGCCGACCUGAGAGGGUGAUCGGCCACACUGGAACUGAGACACGGUCCAGACUCCUACGGGAGGCAGCAGUAGGGAAUCUUCCGCAAUGGGCGAAAGCCUGACGGAGCAACGCCGCGUGAGUGAUGAAGGUCUUCGGAUCGUAAAACUCUGUUAUUAGGGAAGAACAUAUGUGUAAGUAACUGUGCACAUCUUGACGGUACCUAAUCAGAAAGCCACGGCUAACUACGUG